rnacentral:lncRNA from 1 species
AUGGGACCUGACUCCCCCUCCAGCACCCCAUCUAAACUGCACUGCUCUGGGAUGGACACAGCCCUGCUGGCCUCCUUCCGGGCCCACCACACGACUCAGGGGUCAGGGGCAGCCAGCUCCAGUCAGCAGGCGUCCAGCAGCAGUGGAACUCAGCCUGGGUCUACCGGGGCCUUUCCCUUUGGACCUUUCUCCUCCUCCGGGGGCUCUCCCUCCCACAGCACGGCACAGAGCACGGCCCAGCUACACUCACAGCCCCAGACGCAGCAGCCAUUCCGCUGCACCACCCCGCCUCUCGCUGCCCUCUUCCAGCAGGGAGUCAUGGAGGGAGCCGUGGGGACAGAGAUGGGUGGAGCAACAGGGGGAGCUACAGGUUGGUCUUCAGGAGGCACUACCGGAGGUGAAAUAGGAGGGGUUGCUGAGGGGGCCACGGGUGGGACAAUAAGAAGGGCCACUGGUUGGGGUAGACGUGGGUCUAUAGAAGGAUAUACUACUGGAGUACAUAUAGGAGGAGCCACUGGGGGGUACUCAGGAGGGGCUAGUGGUGGGCACAUUAGAGGAACUAGUGGAGGACAUAUAGGAGCUACUGGUGGAGCAAUGGGAGGGCAUAUAGGAGGGGCAAUGGGAGGGGCAAUGGGAGGGGCUACAGGUGGAAUGACAAUUGGAGUUCUGGGUACCUCUAGUUCUGGUUGUAGUAUCAGCCCCCAGUCCACUGGUUCAUCCGGCAACAUUAACCCCUGUCAGCUGCUCCACAGCCAGCUGCCCCCCAAGCCUCCACAGGUGGGCUCCCUGCAGCAGUUUGCCGGCGGGGGUAGGACUCCUAGUGGGUUCUACCACCUCCCCCCUCCAGGCUCCCCAUCCUCCUCCUCCACCCAGCAGGCCCCAGAGGGCUCCCCUUCUCCCCUGGCCCAGUUCAGCCUGGCAGGCCUCCAGUCUGGCCUGGUCCCUCAGCUGUCCCUGGAGAGGUCUGCCCUGGCCUCGUUGGCCCAGUACGGCUCAGCUAACGGCUCGCCCUGCUACACCCCCCUGGGGCCUAGCCCCACGGUCCAAAGCCCAGUCACAGGAAGGACUUUCCACUACAGUGACUCAUCCAGUGCCACAGGGUCCCACAGCUCUCUGCUCAUGCCCCAGACCUCCCUCCCCAGCCAGCAGCACGCAGCCGGCAGUGAGUCUCUGCUGGGGCUGGGCAGCUUCUCUGAGGAUAUGAAACUAUUGUCCUGUUCUAACAUCUCCCUGCCCCAGGAUGUGACCCAGGCCAUGGGAUACUCCUCCCUCCCACGCUCCUCACCCCCUCGCACCUCGCCCCCACGCUCCUCACGGGAUGGAGGGCCUGUCGCCCACUCAACACCCCCCAAGAUUCCGACAAACAA